rnacentral:rRNA from 1 species
UACGGGGGGGGCAAGCGUUGUUCGGAAUUACUGGGCGUAAAGGGCUCGUAGGUGGCCAACUAAGUCAUACGUGAAAUCCCUCGGCUUAACCGGGGAACUGCGUCUGAUACUGGAUGGCUUGAGGUUGGGAGAGGGAUGCGGAAUUCCAGGUGUAGCGGUGAAGUGCGUAGAUAUCUGGAGGAACACCGGUGGCGAAGGCGGCAUCCUGGACCAAUUCUGACACUGAGGAGCGAAAGCCAGGGGAGCAAACGGG